rnacentral:rRNA from 1 species
CCUACGGGUGGCAGCAGUCGAGAAUCAUUCACAAUGGGGGAAACCCUGAUGGUGCGACGCCGCGUGGGGGAAUGAAGGUCUUCGGAUUGUAAACCCCUGUCAUGUGGGAGCAAAUUAAAAAGAUAGUACCACAAGAGGAAGAGACGGCUAACUCUGUGCCAGCAGCCGCGGUAAUACAGAGGUCUCAAGCGUUGUUCGGAAUCACUGGGCGUAAAGCGUGCGUAGUCUGGUUGGUAAGUCGUGUGUGAAAGGUGCGGGCUCAACCCGCGGACGGCACAUGAUACUGCGAGACGUGAGUAAUGGAGGGGUAACCGGAAUUCUCGGUGUAGCAGUGAAAUGCGUAGAUAUCGAGAGGAACACUCGUGGCGAAGGCGGGUUCCUGGACAUUAACUGACGCUGAGGCACGAAGGCCAGGGGAGCGAAAGGGAUUAGAUACCCUUGUAGUC